GACGAACGCUGGCGGCAUGCCUAACACAUGCAAGUCGAACGGAACUUAUCGAAUGAAGUUUUCGGAUGGAUUUUGGUAAGUUUAGUGGCGGACGGGUGAGUAACGCGUGAGCAACCUGCCUUUCAGAGGGGGACAACAGUUGGAAACGACUGCUAAUACCGCAUAAUGUCAUUUGGGGGCAUCCUCGAAUGACCAAAGAUUUAUUGCUGAAAGAUGGUCUCGCGUCUGAUUAGCUAGAUGGCGGGGUAACGGCCCACCAUGGCGACGAUCAGUAGCCGGUCUGAGAGGAUGAACGGCCACAUUGGGACUGAGAUACGGCCCAGACUCCUACGGGAGGCAGCAGUGGGGAAUAUUGGGGCAAUGGGCGAAAGCCUGACCCAGCAACGCCGCGUGAAGGAAGAAGGGUCUUCGGAUUGUAAACUUUGUCUUUGGUGAAGAUAGUGACGGUAGCCAAGGAGGAAGCCACGGCUAACUACGUG
rnacentral:rRNA from 1 species